rnacentral:rRNA from 1 species
CACGUAGUUAGCCGGGGCUUCUUAGUCAGGUACCGUCAUUAUCUUCCCUGCUGAUAGAGCUUUACAUACCGAAAUACUUCUUCACUCACGCGGCGUCGCUGCAUCAGGGUUUCCCCCAUUGUGCAAUAUUCCCCACUGCUGCCUCCCGUAGGAGUCUGGGCCGUGUCUCAGUUCCAAUGUGGCCGUUCACUCUCUCAAGCCGGCUACUGAUCGUCGCCUUGGUAGGCCGUUACCCUGCCAACUUUAGCUAAUCAGACGCGGGUCCAUCUCACAGCGAUAAAUCUUUGAAGGAACCUUCAUGCGGAGAUCCCUUGUUAUGCGGUAUUAGCAGCCGUUUCCGGCUGUUGUCCCCCUCUGUGAGGCAGGUUACCCACGCGUUACUCACCCGUCCGCCACUCAGUCAUUACCAUCCUUCCCUCCGAAAAGUUCCGUCGGUAGCGCUUCGUUCGACUUGCAUGUGUUAAGCACGCCGCAGCGUUCAUCCUGACGCCAGGAUACAAACUU